AUUGAACGCUAGCGGCAUGCCUAACACAUGCAAGUCGAACGAGUGGCGGACGGGUGAGUAAUUUCUGGGAAACUGCCUGAUGGAGGGGGAUAACUACUGGAAACGGUGGCUAAUACCGCAUACCAUCAGAUGUGCCCAGAUUGGAUUAGCUAGUUGGUGGGGUAACGUCUAACCAAGGCGACGAUCCCUAGCUGGUCUGAGAGGAUGACCAGCCACACUGGAACUGAGACACGGCCCAGACUCCUACGGUAGGCAGCAGUGGGGAAUUUUGCACAAUGGGGGAAACCCUGAUGCAGCCAUGCCGCGUGUAUGAAGAAGGCCUUCGGGUUGUAAAGUACUUUUAGCAGGGAAGCGUUAUCCGCAGAAUAAGCACCGGCUAACUCCGUGCCAGCAGCCGCGGUAAUAC
rnacentral:rRNA from 1 species